AACGAACGCUGGCGGCAUGCCUAACACAUGCAAGUCGAACGGGAUCCUGGUUUCGGCCAGGUGAGAGUGGCGGACGGGUGAGUAACGCGUGGGAACCUGCCCAGUGGUGGGGAGUAACUGCGGGAAACGUGCAGCUAAUACCGCAUGAGCCCGAAAGGGAAAGAUUGAUCGCCAUUGGAGGGGCCCGGCGUUCGAUUAGGUAGUUGGUGAGGUAACGGCUCACCAAGCCUUCGAUCGAUAGCUGGUCUGAGAGGAU
rnacentral:rRNA from 1 species